AGAGUUUGAUCCUGGCUCAGGAUGAACGCCGGCGGUGUGCCUAAUACAUGCAAGUCGUACGCACUGGCCCAACUGAUUGGUGGUGCUUGCACCUGAUUGACGUUGGAUCACCAGUGAGUGGCGGACGGGUGAGUAACACGUAGGUAACCUGCCCCGGAGCGGGGGAUAACAUUUGGAAACAGAUGCUAAUACCGCAUAACAACAAAAGCCGCAUGGCUUUUGUUUGAAAGAUGGCUUUGGCUAUCACUCUGGGAUGGACCUGCGGUGCAUUAGCUAGUUGGUAAGGUAACGGCUUACCAAGGCGAUGAUGCAUAGCCGAGUUGAGAGACUGAUCGGCCACAAUGGAACUGAGACGCGGUCCAUACUCCUACGGGAGGCAGCAGUAGGGAAUCUUCCACAAUGGGCGCAAGCCUGAUGGAGCAACACCGCGUGAGUGAAGAAGGGUUUCGGCUCGUAAAGCUCUGUUGUUGGAGAAGAACGUGCGUGAGAGUAACUGUUUACGCAGUGACGGUAUCCAACCAGAAAGUCACGGCUAACUACGUGCCAGCAGCCGCGGUAAUACGUAGGUGGCAAGCGUUAUCCGGAUUUAUUGGGCGUAAAGCGAGCGCGGGCGGUUGCUUAGGUCUGAUGUGAAAGCCUUCGGCUUAACCGAAGAAGUGCAUCGGAAACCGGGCGACUUGAGUGCAGAAGAGGACAGUGGAACUCCAUGUGUAGCGGUGGAAUGCGUAGAUAUAUGGAAGAACACCAGUGGCGAAGGCGGCUGUCUGGUCUGCAACUGACGCUGAGGCUCGAAAGCAUGGGUAGCGAACAAGAUUAGAUACCCUGGUAGUCCAUGCCGUAAACGAUGA
rnacentral:rRNA from 1 species